GUCUAAUUAGUUUAUAUAAAAUUAUAAAUUGUGAAUUUAUAGAAGAUUUGUUUCAUUAGACA
rnacentral:tRNA from 1 species